rnacentral:lncRNA from 1 species
GAUAAUAAAUAAAAUAAAACAUUUGGGUUUGUGGAGGGAGAUUUCAAAAGAAACAAUGAAGUGUUUUUCUUGUUGAACACAUAUCUUCAUUUCAAAAUUUUAAAAAAAUUUCGAUUGUGUGAUUUUGGAGCCUUUUUACUGUUGGAUGGUUGAGCAAAUAUUUGCAAAUCUUCAACAACUUUGAGCACUUUCGCUAUAAAAUGCGAGGCUUCAGAACCGAGCGGAGGGGGGCUUCUCUUCAUUGUUCG